rnacentral:rRNA from 1 species
UACGGGGGGGGCAAGCGUUGUUCGGAAUUACUGGGCGUAAAGGGCUCGUAGGCGGCCAACUAAGUCAGACGUGAAAUCCCUGGGCUCAACCCAGGAACUGCGUCCGAUACUGGUUGGCUUGAAUCCGGGAGAGGGAUGUGGAAUUCCAGGUGUAGCGGUGAAAUACGUAGAUAUCUGGAGGAACACCGGUGGCGAAGGCGACAUCCUGGACCGGUAUUGACGCUGAGGCGCGAAAGCCAGGGGAGCAAACGGG